GGUGGGCUGGGGCUGGCUGGGGUGGGUGGGGGUGCUUCAUUAGAAAGUGCCAUCAGUAUCUCCUUCCACCCCCAGUUUCUGUAGCGUGGACAAACUUUGCCAAGUGGGCAGUAAGAAAAAUUGGGAAAAAUGGGGCAGGAAUAGGCACUUAGCUUUAUCCUAGAUUUUUCUUUUUCUUAAAUUUAACAGCUUUAUUGAGAUAUACUCACAUACAAUUCACCCAUUUAAAGUUUACAUGUCGAUGGUUUUUAGUAUUAACAUUUUCACCACCCCAAAAAGAAACUCUAUACCAUCAACAGUCACUCCCCAAUAUCCCUUAGUCUCCCCUGCCCGAAGUCCUAAUCUGCAAAUCUACUUUCUGUUUCUAUAGAUUUGCUUUUUCUGGACAUUUCGUAUAAAUAGAAUCAUACCAUGUGUGGCUGUUUGUGACUAGUGUCUUUCACUGAAGCACAUGCUUUGUGACCGAAUCAGUGAUCCACAGUUAGUCCUGCCUCCAGGGAUCACACCUUGUUUUCCUCUGAUGCUGGGGGUGUUGGGGGGUGGGGCGGUGGAGGGGAGCACUGACCUUGGGGCCUCCUCCCUUCCUAGGUGAGAACAGAGAGGCAGGAAUUCCCCAGCCUCUCCAUGGGCCUAGAUACUAACCACAGUCUCCAUCUCAGCUGCAGGUAUUCUAAGAAACAUCUGCUGGGAACAGCCUGUGGCUUCAAAACUAGGGAGCCUGCCUGAGAGACAAGGCUUCCUGUCUGAGAGGUGGGGGCUUAAGCGCUCCUGCAACCUGUCCUCUGGGGCACCUGCUUCUGCGGUCAGCCAUGGAGGUCAGUGGGAGGCACCUUUUCAGGUCUGCUUUAUCUUGAAUGAAGGAAAAAAGCCCACCUGGAAAAUCAGAGAGACUGCUGUUGAAAGGGUCUUUCCACAAGGUUACCCAGGAGUCCUGGCUGGAAUAGCGUUCGGACCCUUGGUGGUGAGAGGUGGAUGUGAGCAGCUUGUCUCCCAGAUGGCCGGCUCCCUGAGACAUGCCUGGGAGGCCUCACUGGCUUCUUCAUUUGGAACACACCCAGGCCCAGGGACUUCCCGGAGCCUAUUGAAGGCCUCAGCAGCCUCCCGGCGAGGCUUUGCCAGGAGCCCAUGGUUAGUUCUAAGGAAAUGGGCAACUGGGAAAAAUGGCAGCGUGGGAUGGGAACCAGUCACCUUUCCUGGGGAUAGAAUACUUCCAGUGUGGGGAGACGCAGUGUAAUUAAGGCAGGGCAGGGUUUCCUUUUUUUUCUUAAUGUUGCUUUUCCCGUUUUGACCUUCCCAAGGGAAGGGGAGUUAGUCUGUCCUCAGCAGGAACGAGGCUGAGGUUCCUGCUCAUGCUUUGUCUCCCAGCUCUUCUGGCCUUCUCCCUGCCUUUCCCCAGCCCCAGAGGGUCAAGAGGAAAUCCAGUCCCUCUGCUGUUGCCCUUUGCUAGUGGAGAAAGUGCAGGUGUGUCUUCCCCCAACCCCUCCCCGGCUCUGGUUUGGGGAGCAGUGGUAUUAGCUGUUUCUGCCAACUGGGGCUGUGCUUGCGGACUCCCUGGGAGACCAGAAGCUCUGACCCUGUGGACUUGCCUUGGCCCCUGGGAGGGAACCCUUGCCAGGAACCUGUGAGCUCACUCGAGGUGGGUGUUGGGUAAGGGUGGAGAGGGCUGGGGAGUAGGAAAAGAGAGGGGAUGACUCCCUCCUUCCCCCGUCAGCUGGGUGUGCAUCACUGCUGCUGGGAAGACACUCAGGCCACUUCUAGACAGAUUGGUCACUAUGGAAAUUCUUUUUUACCCUUGGGUGGGGCUUUACUUGUUCAGGAGAAUCUUUAGAUGUGCUCCUUCCAGGUCCUGGCCCUGUGAGAUGAAACCAUUCACCUGCCCCCCCUCAAGAUGAGAAGGCAGGCCAGUGUCUGAGCGCGCUCUGUAAUCUCUCCUUGUUCUCCCCGUCACCUUGUGGUUCCUAUCUUCACCUGAUCCGCUCCUCAGACAUUUGUGGUUCUAGCCUGGCAUGUGGUAGGCAUACCUUGGGGGCAGGAUGGCACCACGUGUCUUACUUUUCUCUUUCCCACAGGUUCUCGCCUUGUUGGACCCCAUUUCCCGUCAUGGCCUUACUUGGAGCUGUGGCACAUCUGGACCUAGAGAGGGGUGGCCUGUUGUCCUGUGUAAUGAGGAUCCCAGAUUUCCCCUAGGGUCACUGUGAGUCAGAAUUGACUCGACGGCACUGGGUUUUUUUUUAACCUACGUAGGAAGAUAGAAUCACAGAAGUCAAAGAGUUUACAGUUGGAAGAAACCUGAGACCUCAGGUAGGCUUGUACAGAUGAGGAGACUGAGGUCCAGAGAGUGAAAGUGACUUGUGUACAGGUGCUCGGCAAGUUCAUUGCAGAGCUGGGACUUGAACCAGGUUGUUCUGCCUUUUGGCGUAUACUUCUAUAGGGUUGCUAUGAGUUGGAAUCACUCAGCGGCAGCGAAUUUGUUUUUUUCUUCUCUGUCACUUGGCAAACUCUCUACUUGGAGAGUAUAGAGUAGAUAAACCACAGGAACGUGGAUGGCCAUGAGGUUUAAAUUACCUGUGCCAUCUGGGUGGGGAAGGAGGCGGUAGAGUAGAUAAUCUUAAAUUAUUGACAUUGGACUUUUCAGAAUAUCAGUGGAUUUUUUUUCCCCUCUAGUAAAUGUAUCUGCUUAAUUCUCAUGGGCUCCCGUAACGUUGUGUCCCAGAAACCUGCUGGGUGUGUGUGCGUGCAUGUGCGUGUGUGUGUAUGUAUGUGUGUGUGCUUGUUUGUGUAUAUGUAAGUAUGUGUGUGUGUGUAUAUGUAUGUGUGUGUUUAUGUGUGCGUGUGUGUACGUGUGUGUGUGAGCGCGUGUGUGUACUUGUGUUCACUGAUUCAUUGUUUGCUGUGAUUAAUCUACAAAGUGGAUAAUCCACAUGCAAACAUGUGAGCACCGGCUGUACCCAGACCCUUUCUUUGAAGACACAUUUAUACAACGACAGACUCCUUGCCUUUUGCCAGUAUGAAACUGGCUGGAGCUUGCUGAGGUUGUAAUUGCGUGUCUGCGUUCUUUGGCUCCCGUCUGGAAAAGUGGUUUCCACAGAUACAGUAAUAGGCUUUUAGAGCUGGAAAGCACAUUAGGGAGCCUCUGAACUGACCUCUUCAUUGUGGGGAGGGGGCAGGGACUUGUCCCAGGCCACACAGUUGGACAGUGAUGGAGCUGGUCCCAUGGGAACAAGAGCUUAUGUCAGUAGAGGGCUACGUACCAGCCUCACAUGUUCCAUCUUGGCUGAGAUGGCCUGUCCCCAGGCCAGCCAGAUCUUUUGCAGUUCUGCCCUUGACAGGCCCAUGUGUUGGCUGAAACAGUCCCUCUUCUUCCCCUACAGUUCUCCUCCCAUGAUCUCCCAGCCACCUCUUCUUUCUCUUUUAGCGCUCCAUACUGUUACUGCUUACCCCAACAUUUUACUGUGAAAAGUUUCAGAUAUGUGGCAAAGUUGGAAGAAUAGUGCAGUGAGCACGCAUAUACCCAACCACCUAGAUUCUACCAUUCAGCAUUUACUAUACUUGCUUUAUCAUGUUUCUUUCCAUCUCACUGUCCUUUUAUCUGUCCGUCUUAUUUUUGGGAUGCUGCAUUUCGUAGGAAGUUGCAGAUGUCAGUACACUUCACUACCAAACAUUUCUGCAUACAUGGCAUUCAUUAGAGUGCAUGUUUGUUCACGUGUUUUGGCUUUUUGGUGGUAAAAUUUAUAUAACAGAAAAAGUUACAAAUCUUUAGUGUAUCAUUUGAUGAGUUUUGAUAAACGCCUACACCUGUGCGCCCCAAAUCUCUGUCAAGAUACAGAGGAAGGUUAUGCCCUAGAAGGUCCCCUCACGCUCUUCCCAGUUAACCCCUCCUGCUCUCUUGUAGGCAGUCACUUCUGAUUUGCUUUCACCAUGGGUUAGCUUUGGCUGUUCUGGAACUUCACUUAAAUGGAAUCAUCAUUUUGAACUCUUUUGUGUGAAGUUCAUCCACGUGGUUACAUGUCCUGGUAGGUUUGUUUCUCUUUGUGCUGAGUAGUACUCUUUGUAUGCAUAAAUUACUUACCCAUUCUCCCAUUGAUAGACAUGUGGAUUGUUUCCAGUUUUUGGCUAUAAUGCAUAAGCUCCACAUCCUUGCACAAGUCUUUUUGUGGACGUUAUGUUUUCAUUCUCUUGGGUAAAUACCUGGGUGUGGGAUUGCUAGAGCAUAGGAGGCUGUUACUUCUUGUUCUUUUUCGACUCUCUCCCCAGCCCUCUCAUUGUGUCUGCACCCAGGAAUGUGUUAGAAAGUACCUUGUUGCUCGUCUAGAUUAAUCUCUUUCCAGUGUGGGAGUCCUCUUGAGAGCCCACUUGAGAGCCUCUGCUUGAAUGCUUCCAGGGAUAGGGGACUCACUCCUUUAUAAAGCCCCUACUGUUAUGGGACAGCGUCUUAUAAUUUCUACCUCGGGCAGCCAAAUAGGGCAAAUCUAAUGUAGCCCCCUUUUCCGUGACAGCACUAUCAAAUUUUAGGACUAUUACCACAUUCAGUCCCUCAACUGAUCCUUCAUGGUUUUUCUUCUUCUGGCUGAUUACCCCAGUUGAUUGAAGUGUUUCUCCUGUGACAUGGUUUGCAGACUGUUUACAUCCAGGUUGUCCUCCUUUGCCCAGAAUGAGAAGUGAAUUCUGGAUGUGGUUUGACAGGUACAGAGUGUGCUUGGAGCUGGAUCCCUGUCUUGAGCCAUGUACUUGAUCUGUCAGUAAGCCGAUGGUGAUGUUAACUGUUUGGCAGCCUGUCUUAGUCAUCUAGUGCUGCCAUAACAGAAGUACCACAAGUGAAUGGCUUUAACAAAGAGAAAUUUAUUUUCUCACAGCCAAGUCCAAAUUCAAGGUGUCAGCUCCAGGGGAAGGCUUUCUCUCUCUUUUGGCUCUAGAGGAAGAAGGUCCUUGUCCUCAGCCUUCCCCUGGUCAAGGAGCUUCUCAGGCAUAGGGACCCUGUGUCCAAAGGAUGCACUCUGUUCCUUGGGCUGCUUUCUUGGUGGUAUGAGGUCCCCAACUCUCUGCUUGCUUCCCUUUCCUUUUAUCUCUUGAGAGAGAAAAGGUGGUGCAGGCCACACCCCAGGGAAGCUCCCUUUACCUUGGAUCAGGGAGGUAACGUGAGAGAGGGUGGUAUUACAAUCCCACCCUAAUCCUCUCAACCUAAAAUUACAAUCACAAAUUGGAGGACAACCACACAAUACUGGGAAUCGUAGCCUAACCCAGUUGAUACACCCAUUUUUGGGGGGACAUAAUUCAAUCUGUGACACAGCCACAUCAUGGUGUUGAAUCAGAUGAGUUAAUGAUUGUAAAAAUACCACAAAUCUAAGGUGGUAUUAAGAUACCCAUUCAGUUUGAAGUCAUCUAGAGCCCUUGAUCCUAAUAGCAUUUAUUGUGUCUUAUUGUUUGCCAUUAUCUCAUGUCACCUUUGCCACCUUAUGAGAAAGGUGCUGUUAAAAAUAACUUAAUAAAAACUAUUGGUUUAAAACAGGUACUACUGGCAUUUUGGACCCAAUAAUUUUUUGUUACGGGGGAUUGUUGUAGGAUAUUUAACAGCAAACCUGGCCUCUACCCACUAGAUGCCAGUUGUACCCCGCUACCCCAAAUCAUGACAAUCAAAAUGGCUUCAGAUAUUGCCAAGUGUCCUUUUUGAGGGGAAAAAUCACCUUGGAUUGAGAGCUUUUUUCAAGGUGUAGAAUCUAGUCACUGAAAAAAAGUAGUAUCGCUCUUCCCCAAGGAAGUAACUACUGUUAGCUCUUUAGUGUGUCUCCUUCCAGGUUAUGUUCUUUGUACAGAUAGUCCUCGUUCUGCACAGUUCUGAUAUGUACGAAUUUCACCAUGGUUUAGUUAAAUAAGACCAGUUCCCCAACAACAUGGUUCACAUUUCAGUUGCCAAGGUCUUUUAACUUUGAGUAAUUACAUAAAAUACAAACUUUGCUGUAAGCUGUUUGGCAUAUGACUCAUUAUGUAAAUAACAGAUGUCCAUCAUGAUCAGUGACCAGUCAGGCACUCCUGAGAGUCUGUGAGUGAUUGGCCACUGCCCAUCUGUUGUUCUGUUCACGCACAGAUAAGAAAGCAUAUAGUUAUGUGGCUUCCUUGUC